AUUGAACGCUGGCGGCAGGCCUAACACAUGCAAGUCGAGCGGAGCGGCGGAAGGGGGAGGAAUGCCUAGGAAUCUGCAUGGUGGUGAGGGACAACGUACGGAAACAGACGCUAAUACCGCAUACUAUCAGAUGAGUCUCGGUGGGAUUAGCUAGUUGGUGGGGUAAAGGCUUACCAAGGCGACGAUCCGUAACUGGUCUGAGAGGAUGAUCAGUCACACUGGAACUGAGACACGGCCCAGACUCCUACGGGAGGCAGCAGUGGGGAAUAUUGCGCAAUGGACGCAAGUCUGAUGGAGCCAUGCCGCGUGUAUGAAGAAGGUCUUCGGGUUGUAAAGUACUUUCAUCGGGGAGGCGUUACCUACAGAGGAAGCACCGGCUAACUCCGUGCCAGCAGCCGCGGUAAUAC
rnacentral:rRNA from 1 species